rnacentral:rRNA from 1 species
CGGACGGGUGAGUAAUGUCUGGGAAACUGCCUGAUGGAGGGGGAUAACUACUGGAAACGGUAGCUAAUACCGCAUAACGUCGCAAGACCAAAGAGGGGGACCUUCGGGCCUCUUGCCAUCGGAUGUGCCCAGAUGGGAUUAGCUAGUAGGUGAGGUAACGGCUCACCUAGGCGACGAUCCCUAGCUGGUCUGAGAGGAUGACCAGCCACACUGGAACUGAGACACGGUCCAGACUCCUACGGGAGGCAGCAUG